UUGCAUAAUUCAAGCCUCAGGUUCUUAACCUACGAUAAACACUUCAAUACAUACACGCAUUAAUGUGCUCAUCGCAGGAUUUUGCAACAUGAAUAUCAUUACCAAAACUCUAUAGAAGAGAGUAAUUACAAAGCUCAUACAAGGAGCAGAAUAACAAUUAUUACAAAGAGAGGACACAUGUCCCAACAUUACAUCAUUACAUCAGCGGAAGUCGAAUUAUGCCCGAGUACGGACAAGAAUACAGCAUGGCCUGAAGAGGCUAGAAGCUGGAAGGAAACCCGCCACGAGUCUCGGAACCCUGAUCUGGAUCUCCUGGCUAAACAUCGAAUCCAAUGUCGUGCUCCACGAAGAAGCUAGCGGCCCACCUGCUCUGCUGGAACCUCUGAAGAAAACAACGUUGCAAAGCAACUGAGUACAAAGUACUCGCAAGACUUACGGGGAGAUCUAUGCUAGUAUGCAACAUGUCUCAAAGGAGCGUAAAGUGGGGUUAUGCAGCAGCGGAUAUCUGGAGAGACACUCUUAAUAACAACGUCUAAUGAGAGGAUGAGAAGCGUCUACCAACUGAGGUGAUUAACCUAUUUACUAAAUACCAAAACAACACAAUCCUCAUAUCACCCCCUCAACACCCUGUGAGGAAGCCAUCGAAAGGAAACUCACACUUAAACAGUUUUAAGCAUAUCCAUGAUUAAGGCUAAUUACUACUCAAGUUUAUGAGAUUAAGUUGGUUAAGUUCUCUAUGAUCAUGUAAUGACCAACCAAGUCGUCCAUAACCGCGGACACGGCUUUCCGAAAGAUUUAUCCCUGCAGGGUGCACCAAUUUACCCGUACACGUUCGAUCAACCCAUGAAUACCAAGCGUGCUCACACUCAAAUGUGCGCUGGCUGGAUUGACUGACACGACGUUUCCAAGUUCCACAGCUAAUCCAGGGGGGACCACCCAACUGAGUCUAUCCGAAACGAGAGCCCGAUCGAAGCGUCGUACGGACUCAAGAGUUGCGAGGACAGCUGGUAGUGGUUCAGGGCCCGCAGGAUGACCACUCCAGACUAGUGCCGCAGUCCUAUAUGAAUGCAAAGUCACCGACAAGUCUCCACUAAUCUCUUUGUGCAUGCAAUGCAAAUGCCAAAUGGAACGCCCAAACUACGUGGCCCCUGGAAGAGCUGAGAAUCAAGUACUAAGUCGAGGGGGAAGCCAUAUCUUCUCCCACGAGCGAUUAGGGCGAAGUUUCUUGGAUCGGCAAAAACGAGAUCUCAGUCCUUAGGUCGGUGCAAAUGGAACAAAUCACCAAUGCGUUAGAGCACGGCCUCCCAUCGUUGCCUUGUUACAUUUAAGUAUCAUAUCAUAGUUUUAAGAAUGUAAUUAAAACAUAAAGUAGCAUGUGGAUGUAGCAAUUGUGGAACCCCGGAGUAAGGACACUAGACUCGCAACUAAGCAUGACAUCAAAUGACCAAGAACUAGGAUAACAAGCAAACAUGUGACAUGGUAAUAGGACAAGUAACAAGAAAAAUGCAAUUAAGUAGAGCUGAAGAAAAGCUAUGCAACCUAAAAGAAUCGUGACAAGACUGAGAUCGUAACUUAAUGCAAGAUUGAGGGAGAAGCAAUAGGUAGAAUCAACAUGGUCAAGGAAGGGCUGCUUGCCUGGAGUACUCAAUUGCCCGGAAUUGAGAAAGA
rnacentral:lncRNA from 1 species